UGUGCGUUCUUCAGACUGCCCGCUUGCCCAGAAUGCACCGCGGCCGCAUCUCAGGACAGCGCAAACGGAGCUCACAGCGGUAUGUUCAAAAUUCCCUUUUCUGCUGCUAUUGUUCUCCAAAGGUAAGUUUUCAGAUUGUUUGAGGCGAGAACAUUAUUCUUUUAAGCUUUCCUAUGUGGCCUGUUUACAGAGUUAGUGUGUAAUAAAAAAAAAACAAAAAACGACGUUGAGCGGAGCAGAGUGACCUACAGACCUCCGAGGGAAACCUGCGGUUCACUUCUCUCGGCCUAGUGGUGUGUGAACUACCGCUCGUUCUGAUGCCGUUUUUUGUUUUCAUUCGGCAAAACGUUAAUUUGCUUUGGGUUUGUCUGACUGACUUGUGUUGCUUUUUUAACUCAAUACUUGCUGGAAUAAAUUGGAAAUCUAUUUAUUCCCAAGGACGAUAUCAACAUCUAUACUAUAAUGGCUGAUGUUAUGGACAAACCGCAUAACUGGACAACAGAAGAAACACAUGCCCUCAUAAACUGGCGUAUUGCCAAUGAGGGCAUAUUUACUGGCAAGAGGAACUCGUCUAAAACUGGAUGGGAGUGAGUAGUUUUGAUUUCUGUCUGCCUAAAUGUCCAUUUUCAGCUCUUGUGAUGCUAAACCUGUUUUUAAUUCAACUAGUGAUUUUGUGAAAGCCUCUGGCCUGGAGGUCACUGCAAAGCAGGCCAAGAAGAAGUGGCACAAUUUAGUGCAGAAAUAUAAGGUAGUGGUGGAAAACAAUGAAAUGAAGCAGGAAGUGAACACGACUACAUCUGUUAAGUCAGAUGUAGUCGUGUUCACUUAAAAAUUCAGGCAGCUCUGCUGGACAAGAAAGCUGGGCUGCCAGUCUGGCUCGCAGGCAGCUUCCAGACAUCUCCCGGUCUUCAGCCGCUGGAUGACCAUCCUCCUCUGGGUCAACCUCCUCCUCCACAUCAACCUGGUCACCUGCCUCGAGACAAAUGUUGUGGAGGAUGCAGCAGGCGGCGAUGACUUUGGGGGCAAACGUCGGGCGGACCUCCAGCGCCUUAAAGAAGAUCGAUCGCCACCGUGUCUUCAGACCACCAAAGGCGCGCUCAACGAUGUUUCUCGCCUUGGCGUGGUGCCUGUUGUAGCGUGCCUCUACUUGGCCUGUACCAAAGAUAAAAUUAACUUUUAAUUUAGGUCAUAUGUCUCAAUGUUCUAUCCAAUUAGUAUAAUCUUUGGAUCAAUUGUGUGUCAUUGUUGGCUCUAUUUAUGAACAAGAAGGUAAGAGAUCUUACUGGCAACUGGCUGACGAUAGGGCGUCAGGAGGGUGAUCGGGUACCGGAGGCAUGGGUACCCACCAUCACCGAGUAGAAAAAAGCCCUCAGGUGGGUAUAAGGAGUUUUUGUACAACGGCGAGCGCCGCAGUACUAGUGCAUCAUGGACAGAGCCGACAUUGCCAAUGUAAACGUCCAAAAACUUUCCACCUGCAUCACACACACCCUGCAGAAUGAUUGAGGGGAAGAGUUUUCUGUUCACAUAACAUCUCUUUUGUGGCUCUGCAGGUGGAACAAUUCGGACAUGACACCCAUCGAUGGCACCAACUGCUGCCCUAAAGGCCUCGUUCCCGGCAAGGCGUGCAAAACCAGCCCCCACUCCCUCCAAAUCUUGGGGUUUUGGCAGGGAAAUAAUUUUUUGAAUGAUGCCCAUCAGGGAGUUGACAACUCUGUGCACCACCCGGCACACAGUGGACAGGGGCAUCCCAAAGAUGUCCGCUGUUGCCCUGUAGGACACACCACAGGCCAGCCAGUAAAGGGUCACCAGCACCUCUAUUUCCUGUGGCCAUCCAUGGGCCUUCUGGAGGGGCAGCAGCUGAAGGAGGAGGACGAUGGUGGCCCUGUUUAGCCUGAAGGCUGGUCUCAGGUCUCCUUCAUUAAAAAAUAGUUGGAGGAUUGGUACCGAGGUAUUUAUCCUCACAUAUUUUGUUGCUUUUUCUUCCUGUAAAUAAAAAAGUCCAAAUGUUACCAAA